GAUGAACGCUGGCGGCGUGCAUAACACAUUCAAGUCGAACGGUGACGAGGACUUCGGUCCUCUGAUCAGUGGCGGACGGGUGAGUAACGCGUGAGCAACCUGCCCUAUAUUGCGGGAUAACAACCGGAAACAGUUGCUAAUACCGCAUGACGUAUUCGGAUCGCAUGUUCUGAAUACCAAAGAAUUUUGAUAUAGGAUGGGCUCGCGUCCGAUUAGGCAGUUGGUGGGGUAACGGCCCACCAAACCGACGAUCGGUAGCCGAACUGAGAGGUUGAACGGCCACAUUGGAACUGAGAUACGGUCCAGACUCCUACGGGAGGCAGCAGUGGGGGAAUAUUGGGCAAUGGGCGAAAGCCUGACCCAGCGACGCCGCGUGAAGGAAGAAGGUCUUCGGAUUGUAAACUUCUUUUAUGAGGGACGAAGAAAGUGACGGUACCUCAUGAUAAGCCACGGCUAACUACGUG
rnacentral:rRNA from 1 species